CCCUUAGAUGUUCUGGGCAGCACGCGCGCUACAAUGGUCUUCGCAAACGGAUGCAUUCUCGAAGGAGAAUGCCAAUCUUGGAAUCUAUGCCUUGGUCGGGACAGUUGCUUGCAAUUUUUCGACUCGAACCAGGAAUUCCUUGUAAUCGUGAUUCAUCACAUCACGAUGAAUACGUCCCUGCCCUUUGUACACACCGCCCGUCGCUCCUACCGAUCGAAGAGUUAGGUGAAUUGUUUUGAUCGAUAAGAUUUGACUAUGGUCAACUCUCGUUGUGAAAUUCUGAGAAUCUGACUGUUUAGAGGAAGGAAAAGUCGUAACA
rnacentral:rRNA from 1 species